AACGACGAGGAGAGGGAAGCUUCGUAGGCAAUUUCCCCAGAAAAGAGAGGGUCUCGUUUUUUUUGUGAAAUAAAUUAAAAAAAAUUAUUGGCCGCACGAUUUGCUUCCGCUGUGAAUCAACGACAAGGAUGUUGUGGGCCGCAGGCUCCACACAGAAAGUUCUGGAUGGCAAGUUCAUUCUUGGUCAAUUGAGCAAUCACAAGGUCAAUGCAAACUGGGGGAUGCAUCAUAAUAACAGUCUCAAAAGCCUUUCAUAGUACAUUGAGCUAUUAGCGGACUUAGCAACCAAGAGAAAACCAAGAGAAAAAUGGCUGGCGCUUUGAUUGGAGAGGCUUUUCUCUCCGCUUCCAUCGAGGUGCUGUGUGACAGAAUUGCUUCAACCGAGUUUGUUGACUUGUUCCGGCAGAAUAAGCUGGACGAAACCCUACUCGAGAAACUGAAGGUGACGCUGCCCGCCCUUUCUGCAGUCCUCAAUGAUGCAGAAGAGAAGCAAAUUUCAAACCGUGCUGUGAGAAAAUGGCUUGACGAGCUCAAGCAUGCUGUCUUGGACGCGGAGGACUUGCUGGAUGAGAUCGACACUGAAGCUCUGCGACGCAAGGUGGAAGGUGAAGGUCAAACCGAGAAAUUAACCGACAAGGUGUGGAACUUCUUCUCUACUUCUCCUACUCAAAGCAUGAAUGUUGAGAUACAAAAGUUAUUGCAAAGGCUGGAUGGCUUUGUGCAACAGAAGGUUGCCCUUGGUCUGACGGGAGAUGUUGCGAGGAAGUUUUCACAAAGAACUCCAACAACUUCCUUGAUUCAUGAACCUUUUGUAUAUGGAAGAGACGAAGAUAAAGAAAAUUUAUCAAAAGUCUUGUUCUCUGAUGAUGCGAGCGAGGAUGAUGUAUCUAUCCUCACCAUUGUUGGUAUGGGCGGGGUUGGCAAGACGACCCUUGCUCGAGCCCUUUACAACGAUGAUAAGGUGAACGAGCACUUUACCCUUAGAUCUUGGGCAUGUGUUUCAGAAGAUUAUGAUGCUAUUAGGGUGACUAAAACUCUUCUCGAGUCGGUCACUUCAAAACCUUGUAACAUGACAGAUUUGAAUUUGCUUCAAGUUGAACUUAGAGAACAACUGAGAGGAAAGAAAUUCUUAUUUGUGUUGGAUGACCUUUGGAAUGACAACUAUUGUGAAUUGAAGCGCUUGCAAGCUCCUUUUACUUCCGGGGCAAGGGGAAGUAAAGUCAUCGUGACAACACGAAGCGGAAAGGUGGCAUCUCACAUGAAUAAUGUUCCCAUUCAACAAUUGGAGCCUUUGUCGCACGAAGAUUGUUGGAUGUUACUUGCAAACCAUGCAUUUGGAAACAAAAACCACAAUGCACAUCCAACUUUGGAAGAAAUUGGCAAGAAAAUUGCACGCAAGUGCAAUGGGUUGCCUUUAGCAGCAGAAACACUCGGGGGUCUAUUACGUCAGAGAGACUUCAAGGAAUGGAACAUAUUAUUAAAUAGUAGUCUUUGGGAGCUACCUUGUGAUGAAAGUGGUAUCCUUCCAGCCCUACGGUUGAGCUAUCAUUAUCUCCCUGCUCAGUUGAAACGAUGCUUUGUGUAUUGUUCACUAUUUCCAAAAGACUAUCAGUUCAAGAAGGAAGAUAUGGUUCUACUUUGGAUGGCAGAAGGUUUAAUUCCGCAAGGUUUUAACGGACAAAGAAUGGAAGACACGGCUAGAAGUUACUUUGAUGAACUAGUAUCACGAUCACUACUUCAAAAAUCAGGGGAGGAUGGUUUUACAAUGCAUGAUCUUCUUAACGACUUGGGUCAGUUCAUGUCUAGGGGAUUUUUUCUCAGGUUGGAAGAGAGGGAAUCACAAGAAGUUAAAAGACUUCGUCAUUUGUCAUAUGCUAGGGGAGAAUUUGAUGCUGCUAAAAAAUUUGAGCCAUUAAAUGGGGCUAAGUGUCUGCGGACCUUCCUACCUAUCUCAAUACAUGACUGGUUUGAACGUUUCUACAUAAGUAAAAAGUUUCUACAUGAUUUGUUGUCAUCCAUGAAACGUUUACGGGUUUUAUCAUUGUCCCGUUAUAAAAAUGUUGCUGAAGUACCUGAUUCUGUGGGCAAUCUCAUUCACCUGCGCUACCUGGAUCUCUCCAAGACGGAAAUUGUAAAGUUACCUGGUGCAGUUUGCACUCUCUACAAUUUGCAGACGUUACUGCUGUCAGAUUGUCAUAAUCUCAUUGAACUGCCAGCAGACAUGAGAAAAUUGAUAAAUUUACGGACGUUAACGUUGACAGGUUGCCGUCGCCUUACUAAAUUACCAGCAGAUAUGAGGGAAUUGAGUAGUUUGCAUUACCUCGAUGUCAGUGGAACAGAGAUAGAAGGGAUGCCAGUGGAAAUUGGAAGACUAAAGAGUUUGAGAACAUUAACUGCCUUUGUUGUGGGGAAAUCUACCGGAUCUAGCAUUGGAGAAUUAAGGGAGUUGCAGCAUCUUCAAGGAAGACUUCGUAUUUCAAAUCUGCAAAAUGUAGUUGAUGUUGUGGAUGCUUUGGAAGCCAAUUUGAAGAAUAAGAAAGAACUCAAUGACUUAGAGUUGGCAUGGGGUGAUGAGGAAGCCGAUGAUUCCCAAAAGGAGAGAGAUGUGCUUGACAAGCUCCAACCUUCUGCAAAUUUGGAGAAACUGACUAUCAGAUUCUAUGGAGGAACCAGCUUCCCAAACUGGUUAGGAAGCUCUAAUUCCUUCUCGAACAUACAGUUCAUGUGUAUCAGUAAUUGUAAGUAUUGUUUGUCCUUGCCAAGUUUUGGGCAGCUGCCCACUCUUAAAGAGCUUCGUGUCAAAAGAAUGAAAUUUGUUAGGACGGUUGGUGUUGAAUUCUAUGGUGAUCUUAAUGGAGCUUCUGUAAUUCAGCCCUUUCGGUCUCUGAAGACGCUGGAGUUUGAGGAGAUGCCAGAGUGGGAAGAGUGGGAGAAUUGGCGACCGAGUCCAAGUGGAGCUUCUGUACUUCAGCCCUUUCCUUGUCUCCAGGUGCUGAGCAUAAGCAAUUGUCCGAAGCUGAGAGGAUACUUGCCCAAUCGUCUUCCAUGCUUGAAAACACUUUGGGUGUUUGGGUGUGGAUAUCUACGUCUGCAUGAUGAAUGGGCCAGUAGUAGUAGUAGUGGUCUUAACAUGGACUACUUACAGAAUUCAUUGGAAAUAGGUAUUGGAGGAUGCCCAGGUCUGUUACCAUUAAUAGAGAGAGUAGAGAAGAAGUUCUUGUCCACACUUCACAUUUAUAAUUUUGAUGCAAUACAGUGCCUGCCCAAAAUGAAAUAUCUUCGAAGAUUGAGUCUCUACUAUUGCCCAACCGUGUCGUCAUUAGAGUUCUUAUCUCAUGAGAUGAUGGCCGAAUUGACAUCACUUGAGUAUUUGGAGAUCUGGAAUAGUUUUCAUUCAGUGAGGUCCUUCCCGUUGGGCGUUUUCCCCAAACUUUCAACUCUUCAUAUCCAUGGCUGUGAGAAUCUGGAAUCCUUUUCUAUUGAAGGAGUUGAUCACAACCUAAGCCACCUCAACUCCCUGCGAAUCGAGGGCUGUCCAAAUCUGGCGUCUUUCCCGGACGGAGGAUUGCCCACUCCCAACUUGAGACAAUUGCAAGUCUGGGGAUGCGAGAAUUUGAAGUCGUUCCCCGAACGAAUUCGCACCCUCACCGCCCUUGAACGAUUGUAUUUAUACGAUCUUCCAAAUCUGGUAUCAUUUGCCCAAGGGGGUUUGCCUCCCAACCUGCAAUAUUUGGAUAUUGUCGGUUGCGACAAAGUGAAGCCUUCAGUGGAGUGGGGAUUACAAGGACUUGUCUCCCUUAAAAAAUUUGAAAUUGUUGGCGAGAUCUGUGCACAGCUCCUGCUCCCUACUACUCUUAACGGUCUCCACAUCCGUGGACUAUCAAGUCUGAAAUCGGUGGUGGUCGUAAAAGUACUUCGACACCUUGCUUCUCUUCAAUUUCUAUCUAUUGAAGGUUGCCCAAGUCUGGAAUUCCUGCCCCGAGAGGGACUUCAACACCUCACUUCUCUUCGAGAUCUAAAUAUUGUUUAUUGCCCAAGUCUGGAAUUCCUUCCAGCAGAGGGACUUCUACACCUCACGUCUCUUCAAAAGCUACGAAUUUAUGGGUGUCCAAAACUCCAAUUCCUGCCAGAAAACGGUUUGCCGCCCUCUCUUUCUUACCUGGAGAUCUUCUCUUGUUCCACCCUGGAGAAAAGGUACGAGGAUAAGAAAGGAGAAGAUUGGGCCAAGAUAUCUCACAUUCCUUGCAUACGGAUAAACGACGAAGUGAUCAUAUGAGCUCUGUCUCUCUCAUACAAAGUUGUGGCAUUUCACUCUCAGGAAGGAAGACACAUUAUCGCUACAUCUUUAACAUUUUCGGAUGGUAUGAAGAGGAUCAAUCCAGCAUAGUAAGCAGCAAAAGUGCAACAUGUAUAGAAUAGGUGGCACAUUUGCAAUCAUUAGGACUCAAGCCUAGCUAGAUCUUCCCCACCAAAUCCUAAGGAUCCGGAAAUUCAGAUUCUUGAAAUUUGAUCCAAUAGUUACAAUUAUUAUCAUUUUAGAAGGGCCUCUCUUUUUGUAACAUUUGGAUUAAAUUUCAACGGUCCGGAUCUUCAAAUCCUUAGGAUUUGGUGAGGUGAGAUCCGGCUGGGAUCUCUGUCCCUCAAGCCAUAUGUGAUUACUCACCGCUCUAAAAUAAGGAGGUGGAAGUCUUCAUAUAGAGGUGGCUGGUAUAGGACUUGUUGGUGCCUUACUAUUUGAACAUCUGGAUGCUUACGUUCAAGCUUUUACUCGCAAAGCUAGAACAUGACAUCAUUCAAGCUACACGUAGAUAGAUCCUCCGUGAAGCACAAGCAAUUCCAAUCAUCCCCUUUACAGGAAAGAACAUGCAGAAAAGAAGACACCAGCAAGAGGAAGAAGUUCCCUCCUCCUCGGACCACUCCUUCACAAUCCAUAUCUUUUAGAUUAUGUAAAGGCUUUCAAUCCAUCUCCAAUGUAUUUUGUAAAUCUUCUUAUGUAGUGAAAUACUAAUACAAACACAAGGUAGUGGACGUAGCUAAUUUGGUGAGCCACUUAAAUUCUGUGUAUGUUUUUGUUAUUACAAGAAUCAUGCAUGAAUCACCAUCAAAAGAGAAACAAAACUAUUUAUUGUAA